GGUUAAGCGACUAAGCGUACACGGUGGAUGCCCUGGCAGUCAGAGGCGAUGAAGGACGUGCUAAUCUGCGAUAAGCGUCGGUAAGGUGAUAUGAACCGUUAUAACCGGCGAUUUCCGAAUGGGGAAACCCAGUGUGAUUCGUCACACUAUCAUUAACUGAAUCCAUAGGUUAAUGAGGCGAACCGGGGGAACUGAAACAUCUAAGUACCCCGAGGAAAAGAAAUCAACCGAGAUUCCCCCAGUAGCGGCGAGCGAACGGGGAGCAGCCCAGAGCCUGAAUCAGUGUGUGUGUUAGUGGAAGCGUCUGGAAAGGCGUGCGAUACAGGGUGACAGCCCCGUACACAAAAAUGCACAUACUGUGAGCUCGAUGAGUAGGGCGGGACACGUGGUAUCCUGUCUGAAUAUGGGGGGACCAUCCUCCAAGGCUAAAUACUCCUGACUGACCGAUAGUGAACCAGUACCGUGAGGGAAAGGCGAAAAGAACCCCGGCGAGGGGAGUGAAAAAGAACCUGAAACCGUGUACGUACAAGCAGUGGGAGCACAGAGCAAUCUGUGUGACUGCGUACCUUUUGUAUAAUGGGUCAGCGACUUAUAUUCUGUAGCAAGGUUAACCGAAUAGGGGAGCCGAA
rnacentral:rRNA from 1 species